AAGAGACAGCAGUAGCCGCGGGAAAACGGAGGGUGCAAGCGUUAAUCGGAAUUACUGGGCGUAAAGCGCACGCAGGCGGUCUGACAAGUCAGAUGUGAAAUCCCCGGGCUUAACCUGGGAACUGCAUUUGAAACUGUCAGGCUGGAGUCUUGUAGAGGGGGGUAGAAUUCCAGGUGUAGCGGUGAAAUGCGUAGAGAUCUGGAGGAAUACCGGUGGCGAAGGCGGCCCCCUGGACAAAGACUGACGCUCAGGUGCGAAAGCGUGGGGAGCAAACAGGAUUAGAUACCCGCGUAGUCCCUGUCUCUUAUAC
rnacentral:rRNA from 1 species